CCUACGGGAGGCAGCAGUGGGGAAUCUUGCGCAAUGGCCUAACGGCUGACGCAGCGACGCCGCGUGUGGGAUGAAGCUCCUCGGAGUGUAAACCACUGUUGCCCGGGACGAAUAGCUCGAUUAAUCGAGCCUGACGGUACCGGGUGAGGAAGCACCGGCUAACUCCGUGCCAGCAGCCGCGGUAAUACGGGGGGAGCAAGCGUUGUUCGGAUUUACUGGGCGUAAAGGGCGCGUAGGCGGCCAGCACAAGUCAGUUGCGAAAUCUCCGAGCUUAACUCGGAAAGGUCAACUGAUACUGUGCGGCUAGAGUGCAGAAGGGGCAACUGGAAUUCUUGGUGUAGCGGUGAAAUGCGUAGAUAUCAAGAGGAACACCUGCGGCGAAGGCGGGUUGCUGGGCUGACACUGACGCUGAGGCGCGAAAGCCAGGGGAGCGAACGGGAUUAGAUACCCCGGUAGUCCUGGCCUUAAACGAUGAAUGCUUGGUGUCUGGGGUUAUAAAGUCCCUGGGUGCCGUCGCUAACGCUUUAAGCAUUCCGCCUGGGGAGUACGGUCGCAAGGUUGAAACUCAAAGGAAUUGACGG
rnacentral:rRNA from 1 species